GUGCCAGCAGCCGCGGUAAUACGUAGGGUGCGAGCGUUAAUCGGAAUUACUGGGCGUAAAGCGAGCGCAGACGGUUAAAUAAGUCAGAUGUGAAAUCCCCGAGCUCAACUUGGGACGUGCAUUUGAAACUGUGUAACUAGAGUGUGUCAGAGGGAGGUAGAAUUCCACGUGUAGCAGUGAAAUGCGUAGAGAUGUGGAGGAAUACCGAUGGCGAAGGCAGCCUCCUGGGAUAACACUGACGUUCAUGCUCGAAAGCGUGGGUAGCAAACAGGAUUAGAUACCCUGGUAGUCCACGCCCUAAACGAUGACAAUUAGCUGUUGGGGUACUAGUUACCUUAGUAGCGAAGCUAACGCGUGAAAUUGUCCGCCUGGGGAGUACGGUCGCAAGAUUAAAACUCAAAGGAAUUGACGGGGGCCCGCACAAGCGGCGGAGCAUGCGGAUUAA
rnacentral:rRNA from 1 species